AGAGUUUGAUCCUGGCUCAGAAUGAACGUUGGCGGCGUGGAUUAGGCAUGCAAGUCGUGCGGCAGCAGGCCCGCAAGGGCGCUGGCGAGCGGCGAAAGGGAGAGUAACACGCGGGUACCUACCCUCAGGACCGGGAUAGCUGCGGGAAACUGCAAUUAAUACCGGAUGAUGUCUCCGGACCAAAGGUGUAAUUCCGCCGGAGGAGGGGCCCACGUCCUAUCAGCUAGUUGGUGAGGUAAUGGCCCACCAAGGCGACGACGGGUACGGGGUGUGAGAGCAUGCCCCCGCUCACUGGGACUGAGACACUGCCCAGACACCUACGGGUGGCUGCAGUCGAGAAUCUUCCGCAAUGGGCGAAAGCCUGACGGAGCGACGCCGCGUGCGGGAUGAAGGCCUUCGGGUUGUAAACCGCUGUCAGUGGGGAGGAAGUGCACGGGGGUUAUCCCCUGUGUUUGACCGAUCCGCAGAGGAAGCACAGGCUAAGUUCGUGCCAGCAGCCGCGGUAACACGAACUGUGCAAACGUUAUUCGGAAUCACUGGGCUUAAAGAGUUCGUAGGCGGCGCGUUAAGUCGGGUGUGAAAGCCCUCGGCUCAACCGAGGAAUUGCGCCCGAAACUGGGCGUGCUUGAGUGAGAUAGAGGUGAGCGGAACUGAUGGUGGAGCGGUGAAAUGCGUUGAUAUCAUCAGGAACACCGGUGGCGAAAGCGGCUCACUGGGUCUCAACUGACGCUGAGGAACGAAAGCUAGGGGAGCGAACGGGAUUAGAUACCCCCGGUAGUCCUAGCCGUAAACGAUGAGCA
rnacentral:rRNA from 1 species